CAUUGGAUCUUGCCAGGGUGAACACCAACGGACGGCAGCGAUGAGCCCCUGUGGUGUAUCCUUCGCGGAAACCGUGGCCCAUACCCCACCAUGUAUGACAUCUUCAAGGGGUUCUCUCCUAACAGACCUACAGAAACUAACCUUUCCAUUAUGCCAGGACGUUAUUUUGUCAAAAGAAAUGCAAUAAAAACAAGGACACGGUGCUCGAACAAGAAAAACUGUCGGAGAAAGGUGAUGAACAGAGCAUGGAGAAGAAGUAUCACUUGAAGUUCUCCAAAAACCAUUUUCACAAAGGCCCAUACAUAACAGAUAUGGAACUUAUAUAUAGGGAUAAGUAUGAUCCCUCACACAUAUAAUUCCAAUUGUUACCAUCCUCAUUCUGCCUUAUAUGUUUUGUAUCGUUGAUACAAUUUCAGUCAUGCAUGCAUGAACUGCUACAAGUUAUGCAACUCCUGCCGCUAUUACUGUCUA